GUCUACAUACUAUUUUGUUUAGUAUGUGGUGUGUCCCGAAAAAUAACUGUCAAUAUAUUUUUAUCUAAACUAACCAUAGCACUUGAUCAUUUAUAUAUUUUUUAGUUCACUGGAUCACUAUAGACAUUUCGAUUUCCAUCAAACAGAUGAUUUACCUGAUUAUAUUCGCGUACCUGUUGGGGACAACAUCCGGUGAAGACAGACAGGUUCAAACUACCACCGCCCGGAUACCCACAGAACAUACAGAACAACAUCAUAUCGUCAUUAAAAAACUCUCUCGUCCUCAGGAGACAGACCACACGGACACUCAGGAUGACGCCACCGAAACGAAAAUACAGGCACGCAAAAUGGCAGGUGUUGUAAUCUUGGUGAUUGUGUUCGUGGGGGUAACAAUCCCGCUGUGCCUUUGUUUUUGUACGAGUUCCAAGAAAAGAUUUUUGAGGAUUCCUGACGAGGUGACUUUCCCCUCUUUUGUAUGACGCUAAAGAUAGUGUAGAGGCGUGUCAAUGCUUUAAGGAAUGCCAUGAUAAAAACUGGAAACCGAAUUCCUGGCUACAUAAAGCGCUAUCCAGAACGAUAGAGACAACCUCACGUCAGGAGGGGGAAUCUAGGACGUCUGAGCACUGUUACUGCUGGGAGCACGACCAAUAACCAAAAUCGGUACAGAAUGGCUCGGUGUGAUAUCAACAAGGAGAUGGUUGUGCAGUUGUGUUGUAAAGACAAAUAUAAUAAUAAACAUUAAUACGAAUAUGAUAGUGAACUUACCAACUAAAGGUAUCAAUAUCAUGCUUGUUUUAUCUUCAAAAUGUUCCCGUAGUACUUACAUUAAAUAUACUAUUUGACAUGAAGUCAUUACUUGGCAUGGCUAUGCGAAGUAUAGUACCGGUAAUUGAUAUAAUGCCGUGAAAUACAAUAUACAUGUAUGGAAUAUACCUUAAAAUAAGGAGAUGAUAGAUACGAGGGUUGAUAGAUAUGGUGUGAGCCUCGUAUUCGAGGAGGUACUCAAGUCUAUUCUUUUUAAGUCCUACUAUUCUCUCACUAUAUAGGGUCGUGUAUCCAAGGACUGGUUUCAUUUGGUAAGUUUAUAUCGACGAGGUAGCACUCCAAAGUAAACACAUUGUCUCACCCCUGCAAAAGAAUGCAAAGACUGUUCCAUCAGCUGGGAAGGUUAUGGCCUCGGUUUUCUGGGAUGCAGAUGGUAUUCUCCUGAUAUAUUAUCUCCAAAAGGGACAAACAAUCCAUGGCACACACUAUGCUCCACUUUUGAGGCAGUUACGGGAAAAUAUUAAACGUAAGCGCCGCGGAAAGCUCACUAAAGGUGUGUUAUUUCAUCAGGACAAUGCUCCUGUUCACAAGUCUGGCAUUGUCAUGGCUGCCAUUCACGAUUUAAGCUUUAGAUUGAUUGAUCAUCCGCCUUAUUCACCUGAUCUCGCUCCAUCAGACUUUCAUCUAUGUCCGAAACACCGCUGGCAAAAUUCAAAUCCUUCAAUAUGAAGUUCACAACAUAUCAGUCAGCCCUCGUAUCAUGAUCAAUAAAAUAAGUUUGAUGUUUUAUGCACGAAUCGGUAAAAAUUAAUAUCUAUACAUCGUGAAUCCAUUUAAUAUAUAACAUUGAAUGCUAAAAUAGCAAUUUAUCAUUGGGAUAAUUCAUUAAAGUUCAUCAAAUUCA